rnacentral:snRNA from 1 species
GGGUGCGAGGGGGAUCUGGCUGCGACAUCUGUCACCCCAUGGAUCGCCAGGGUUGACUGGGCUGAUCUGGCUGGCUGGGCGGGUGUCCCCUCCCGCUCCCUCGGCUUCUCC